rnacentral:rRNA from 1 species
GAUGAACGCUGGCGGCGUGCUUAACACAUGCAAGUCGAACGGAAAGGCUCCUGCUUGCCGGGGUACUCGAGUGGCGAACGGGUGAGUAACACGUGGGUGAUCUGCCCUGCACUUCGGGAUAAGCCUGGGUAACUGGGGCUAAUACCGGAUAGGACGAUGGAUUGGAUGCCAUUGUGGAAAGUUUGUGCGGGUUUGGCUGAGCUCGCGGCCUAUCGGCUCGUUGGUGGGGUAAUGGCCUACCAAGGCGUCGACGGGUAGCCGGCCUGGGAGGGUGGACGGCGACAUUGCGACUGAGAGACGGCGCAGACUCCUACGGGAGGCAGCAGUGGGGAAUAUUGCACAAUGGGCGCAAGCCUGAUGCAGCGACGCCGCGUGGGGGAUGACGGCCUUCGGGUUGUAAACUCCUUUCGCUAGGGACGAAGCGCAAGUGACGGUACCUGGAGAAGAAGCAACGGCUAACUACGUG